AUGCUCAUUUGGUAGCACAUGUAUUAAAACUGGAAUAAUACAGAAAAGAUCAGCAUGGCUCCCUGGUACAAGAAUGCGAUACAGAUUGAGAAAUGUUCCAUAUUUUU